rnacentral:rRNA from 1 species
UUGGAGGGCAAGUCUGGUGCCAGCAGCCGCGGUAAUUCCAGCUCCAAUAGCGUAUAUUAAAGUUGUUGCAGUUAAAAAGCUCGUAGUUGAACCUUGGGUCUGGCUGGCCGGUCCGCCUCACCGCGAGUACUGGUCCGGCUGGACCUUUCCUUCUGGGGAACCCCAUGGCCUUCACUGGCUGUGGGGGGAACCAGGACUUUUACUGUGAAAAAAUUAGAGUGUUCAAAGCAGGCCUUUGCUCGAAUACAUUAGCAUGGAAUAAUAGAAUAGGACGUGCGGUUCUAUUUUUUUGGUUUUUA